UGGGGAAUAUUGCGCAAUGGGGGGAACCCUGACGCAGCCAUGCCGCGUGAAUGAAGAAGGCCUUAGGGUUGUAAAGUUCUUUCGGUAUUGAGGAAGGUUGAUGUGUUAAUAGCACAUCAAAUUGACGUUAAAUACAGAAGAAGCACCGGCUAACUCCGUGCCAGCAGCCGCGGUAAUACGGAGGGUGCGAGCGUUAAUCGGAAUAACUGGGCGUAAAGGGCACGCAGGCGGUUAUUUAAGUGAGGUGUGAAAGCCCCGGGCUUAGCCUGGGAAUUGCAUUUCAGACUGGGUAACUAGAGUACUUUAGGGAGGGGUAGAAUUCCACGUGUAGCGGUGAAAUGCGUAGAGAUGUGGAGGAAUACCGAAGGCGAAGGCAGCCCCUUGGGAAUGUACUGACGCUCAUGUGCGAAAGCGUGGGGAGCAAACAGGAUUAGAUACCCUGGUAGUCCACGCUGUAAACGCUGUCGAUUUGGGGGUUGGGGUUUAACUCUGGCGCCCGUAGCUAACGUGAUAAAUCGACCGCCUGGGGAGUACGGCCGCAAGGUUA
rnacentral:rRNA from 1 species